rnacentral:rRNA from 1 species
AUGCAUGUCUAAGUACAAGCCGAUUUAAGGCGAAACCGCGAAUGGCUCAUUAAAUCAGCUAUGAUUCAUUGGAUCUGUACCCACACUUACUUGGAUAACUGUGGUAAUUCUAGAGCUAAUACAUGCACCACGUCUCUGACCGCAAGGGAAGAGCGCUUUUAUUAGUUCAAAACCGGUCGGGCCUCGGUCCGUCACCCCACCGUGUUGAAUCUGAAUAACUUGUCGCUGAGCGCACGGUCUCCGCACCGGCGCCGCCUCUUUCAAGUGUCUGCCUUAUCAGCUUUCGAUUGUAGGUUAUACGCCUACAAUGGCUAUAACGGGUAACGGGGAAUCAGGGUUCGAUUCCGGAGAGGGAGCCUGAGAAACGGCUACCACAUCUAAGGAAGGCAGCAGGCACGCAAAUUACCCACUCCCGGCACGGGGAGGUAGUGACGAAAAAUAACGAUGCGAGACUCAUCCGAGGCCUCGCAAUCGGAAUGAGUACACUUUAAAUCCUUUAACGAGGAUCUAUUGGAGGGCAAGUCUGGUGCCAGCAGCCGCGGUAAUUCCAGCUCCAAUAGCGUAUAUUAAAGUUGUUGCGGUUAAAAAGCUCGUAGUUGGAUUUCAGUUCUGGACUGACGGUUCACCGCCCGGGUGCAUACUGUCACGCUCCGAACAGCCACAACAGCCCGCUGGCUCGCAC